CAGCCGCCGCGGUAAUACGUAGGGUGCGAGCGUUAAUCGGAAUUACUGGGCGUAAAGCGUGCGCAGGCGGUUAUGCAAGACAGAUGUGAAAUCCCCGGGCUUAACCUGGGAACUGCAUUUGUGACUGCAUGGCUAGAGUGCGGCAGAGGGGGAUGGAAUUCCGCGUGUAGCAGUGAAAUGCGUAGAUAUGCGGAGGAACACCGAUGGCGAAGGCAAUCCCCUGGGCCUGCACUGACGCUCAUGCACGAAAGCGUGGGGAGCAAACAGGAUUAGAUACCCGCGUAGUCCCUGUCUCUUAUAC
rnacentral:rRNA from 1 species